rnacentral:ncRNA from 1 species
AACCUGAAUGAUAACUGGAUGGUCUGAUCGGAUAGCAGUCCCAUGCUGUCUUUUAAGUUUCAGGAAGAAUAAAAAUAGUGGCAAAGAUUCUUUAUGGACUUGAAAGAU